CCUAAUCAAUUGCGAACCCUAUUGGAACGUUAUUGGAUUUCGUGGUUUAAAGAUACUUCAAGAGUAGUUCUCUAAUGCCAAAAACUCAAGAAUAAUUCGCGUGGGUUGAGAAGUGAUUCGCUGCAAUCUGUUUCAGGCAAUGGAUCGGAAGCUUAUGAGGUUUUAACACAAGAAGAAUAUGAAUUUGAGAUGGCUUUAAGUUCAUUCAAUUUUGAUGAUCUUAUACUGCCCAUGCAAGCAGCCCAAGUUGAAUCCUAAGGAGAACUAGUUCAAGCCCAAGUUGAACCAGUUCAAGCACAAGUAAAAGCAGUUCAAGCCCAAGUUCAACCAGUUCAAGUCCCACUUCCCCCCAUAACAAAAGGAAUUUUAGAGUGAAACUUCUAGUUAAGAGAAAGUAUUCUAUAAGAACUAGUUCCAAUUAAAAUUGACUGAUGAUGGUUUAUGGUUUUUGUAUUAGGCAUGUUAUUUUGUCAAACUAUGAUGCCAAAACUGUAAUAGGUCUCCUAAACCCUAAUUAGACUCCUGAAGUCUAGCUAUCAGGUAGAUAGUGUUGCACCAUUAAUAUUAUCAUAACUUAUCCUAAUGUUAUGAUAAAGAUAAAUAGGAAAAUGUUACAUUUUAGGCAGCAAAGAUUAGGCAGGUUAGGCAAUGGUUUCAAGCAAUGGUUUAUGGUUUUUAGGCA